UACGGAGGGUGCAAGCGUUAUCCGGAAUCACUGGGUUUAAAGGGGUGCGUAGGCGGCACAAUAAGUCAGAAGUGAAAGGCUGUAGCUUAACUAUGGAAUUGCUUUUUGAUACUGUUGAGCUUGAAUUUGGGGUUGAGGUUAGCGGAAUGAGUCAUGUAGCGGUGAAAAUGCAUAGAUAUGACUUAGAAACACCAAAUUGCGAAGGCAGCUAACUGGGCCUUGAUUGACGCUGAGGCACGAAAGCGUGGGGGAGCGAACAGGAUUAGAUACCCCCGUAGUCC
rnacentral:rRNA from 1 species